UACGGAGGGGGCUAGCGUUGUUCGGAAUUACUGGGCGUAAAGCGCACGUAGGCGGCUUUGUAAGUUAGAGGUGAAAGCCUGGGGCUCAACUCCAGAAUUGCCUUUAAGACUGCAUCGCUUGAAUCGCGGAGAGGUGAGUGGAAUUCCGAGUGUAGAGGUGAAAUUCGUAGAUAUUCGGAAGAACACCAGUGGCGAAGGCGGCUCACUGGACGCGUACUGACGCUGAGGUGCGAAAGCGUGGGGAGCAAACAGG
rnacentral:rRNA from 1 species